rnacentral:rRNA from 1 species
ACUCCUACGGGAGGCAGCAGUGGGGAAUAUUGCACAAUGGGCGCAAGCCUGAUGCAGCCAUGCCGCGUGUGUGAAGAAGGCCUUCGGGUUGUAAAGCACUUUCAGUUGUGAGGAAAGGUUAGUCGGCUUAAUAAUCAGCGCUGUUGACGUUAGCAACAGAAGAAGCACCGGCUAACUCCGUGCCAGCAGCCGCGGUAAUACGGAGGGUGCGAGCGUUAAUCGGAAUUACUGGGCGUAAAGCGCGUGUAGGUGGCUUGUU